GAUUAACGCUGGCGGCGUGCAUAACACAUGCAAGUCGAACGAUGAAACUUUAAUGAACCCUUCGGGGAGAAUUAAAGCGGAUUAGUGGCGACCGGGUGAGUAACGCGUGAGUAACCUGCCUUACACAAGGGGAUAGCCUUUGGAAACGAAGAAUAAUACCCUAUAAAACCAUAAAAGCACAUGCAAUUAUGGUCAAAGUGAUAGCGGUGUAAGAUGGACUUGCGUCUGAUUAGCUAGUUGGUGAGAUAAAAGCCCACCAAGGCAACGAUCAGUAGCCGGCUUGAGAGAGUGUACGGCCACAUUGGGACUGAGACACGGCCCAGACUCCUACGGGAGGCAGCAGUGGGGAAUUUUGCACAAUGGGGGAAACCCUGAUGCAGCGACGCCGCGUGAUUUAGAAGGCCUUCGGGUUGUAAAAAUCUUUUGUAUAGGAAGAAAAUGACAGUACUAUACGAAUAAGGUCCGGCUAAUUACGUG
rnacentral:rRNA from 1 species